GAUGAACGCUAGCGGCAGGCUUAACACAUGCAAGUCGAACGGUAACAGGGAGCUUGCUCCGCUGACGAGUGGCGAACGGGUGAGUAAUGCAUCGGAACGUACCCAGUCGUGGGGGAUAACGUAGCGAAAGUUACGCUAAUACCGCAUACGUCCUGAGGGAGAAAGCGGGAGACCGUAAGGCCUCGCGCGAUUGGAGCGGCCGAUGUCGGAUUAGCUAGUUGGUAGGGUAAAGGCCUACCAAGGCGACGAUCCGUAGCGGGUCUGAGAGGAUGAUCCGCCACACUGGGACUGAGACACGGCCCAGACUCCUACGGGAGGCAGCAGUGGGGAAUUUUGGACAAUGGGCGAAAGCCUGAUCCAGCCAUGCCGCGUGAGUGAAGAAGGCCUUCGGGUUGGUUAAAGCUCUUUCUAGUUGAGAAGAAAAGAAUUAGUGACU
rnacentral:rRNA from 1 species